rnacentral:rRNA from 1 species
UACGUAGGGUGCAAGCGUUAAUCGGAAUUACUGGGCGUAAAGCGUGCGCAGGCGGUUGGGCAAGACAGAUGUGAAAUCCCCGGGCUUAACCUGGGAAUGGCAUUUGUGACUGUCUGGCUAGAGUGUGUCAGAGGGGGGUAGAAUUCCACGUGUAGCAGUGAAAUGCGUAGAGAUGUGGAGGAAUACCGAUGGCGAAGGCAGCCCCCCUGGGAUCAACACUGGACGCUCAUGCACGAAAGGCGUGGGGA